CUGGUGUCAGCCGCCGCGGUAAUACCAGCACCCCGAGUGGUCGGGACGUUUAUUGGGCCUAAAGCAUCCGUAGCCGGUUCUACAAGUCUUCCGUUAAAUCCACCUGCUUAACAGAUGGGCUGCGGAAGAUACUAUAGAGCUAGGAGGCGGGAGAGGCAAGCGGUACUCGAUGGGUAGGGGUAAAAUCCGUUGAUCCAUUGAAGACCACCAGUGGCGAAGGCGGCUUGCCAGAACGCGCUCGACGGUGAGGGAUGAAAGCUGGGGGAGCAAACCGGAUUAGAUACCCGGGUAGUCCCAGCUGUAAACGAUGCAGACUCGGUGAUGAAUUGGCUUAUUGCUAAUUCAGUGCCGCAGGGAAGCCGUUAAGUUUGCCGCCUGGGGAGUACGGUCGCAAGACUGAAACUUAAAG
rnacentral:rRNA from 2 species